GUGGUAGCGCCGCGAUCUGUUACACUCACGUUGCUACAAAGUGGUUACAGCAAGGGCUAGCACCAGCGGCCACUCGGCCCACCGGCUACCCCCAUCCACUGGUCAAGGGCGACCCCCUCCCGUCCCGACAAUAUCCUGCUUGUAACUCCAACAACUCAUCAUGCCUUUAAUCUGUGUCUUGCCCUUGUUCGUGUCACCAGAGGUUUCCAUUAUAUUGUCAAUGAUGAUACAUGUGCAUGGUUAGCUGUUCGUGCCAGAGAUACUAUCAACCUCUCGUGGACUUCAGAUCGAACAAAUAGAUUGGUGGACUGCCCCAAGGAUUAAUCUCUAACUUCAGCCAUUAUUGGAGCUGUGUACAAUUUCUCCAUGAACUAAAUGUAAAGAAGCUGCCAGCCCACCCGCCCCGUCAACUGAAGUCAGCAAACAUGCACGGUAUUCCUUAAAUUCUGCAACCUGUUUCUCUUCCAAGUAUCCUGACAAAUAAAGUAUUGUAGCAAUUUGA